CCCUGCUUCAGUGAGCAAACUUGCCUACCCUGUAGACUCCUACGUAAGGAGGCUGCCGUCUCUAGUCAAGCACUAAGACUUCGGAGUAUGAGUAAGAACUCCACUGAGCCUGCUGGUGUAAUUAAAGGUUUUUCUCCACCUUUUUGAGUGACCUUUGGGUUCUCGAGUCUUCAAACUGAGGUAGCUGGGAUGCUGAGCUGUAACACUCAGCUGUGCCUCAGAGCUGUAACGCUUGGGUAUAGCACCGAGCUUUUCUGCUUUGCCUCAAGUCAGUCUGGACAAGAGUCAAGAAGGCCAACACAAUUUUAUCUAAAAGUGUGAUAAGGAAGCUUAGAAGAUGGAGUUUUGAAGUCAUUUCAUGUAGAUGGUCAUUAAAGCCCUGAACAGGUGAACAUGAAAGAGAACAUAGAGGAGAAGAGCCCAGUGAUGGAAAAGGGUUAUUUCAGGAAUCACUCACCUACGCUGGAGUCAAGGAUUAAAAACUAUCACAAUAUCAACCUGUGGAUGGAUUUUAAUAAGGGAUUUAUAAUAAAUAAAUAUUUUUUUUCCUCACAAAAAAACU
rnacentral:lncRNA from 1 species